AACCUUCAACUAUAAAACAUGAAAAGAUUUAUACAGUUCAGAAUCGAAUAAAGAUAAAUAGUGAACAAUAUCUAGAACCUUAGAACUACGGCAAUAAAUAAACAAAAUUUAACAGAAUACUUCCAAUCAUGAUCUUACCGUACAAUUUCACGGCAGACGAGGUUAUUUCGGUAGGAAGAACAUCAAGAACAAACGUGGAAGCGGUAAAAUCCUCGCUAAAAAUUUGCAACGAAAGUUAUGUCCCCAAAGAGCUUCCAGACGAACUGAUCGUAGAGUUUCUUUUGGCUUGUGAGAAUGAUGUGGAAUUUGCAAAAACAACUAUUAGUGUACAUUAUAGAUUGAAAAAGGAGGAACCCCUACUUUUUGAUAAUUAUAGUGGUAUAAAUCCCGAAAUUAAAGAAUUAUUCGAUAUUUGGAGUAUAUCGACGUUACCAACAAGAACCAAAGAAAACUAUUCUAUUCAUUAUUUUCGGUUGGAAAGUUCUGACUUAAAAAAAUUCAAUAGUAUAACAGUGUUAAGAUCAGCGCUUAUGGUAGUUGAUAUCACUUUAAAUAAUAAUCCACCUGACGGAUUUAUUGUGAUAGUGGACCUUAACUUGGCAUCACUAAAUAGAAAAAGUUAUUUUGCAUGUAUGGAGGAACAAAAUAAUUGCACACACCGGAUGGAUCACGCAACACAAAGUUACGAGAUUAUAAUGAAGGCUGAAGAGUUAGCAUCAAAUAUCGAACAAAACCAAAUUAUGACAGCCCUGGGUACAGAGAUAGCUUUACAAAAAGAGAACUGCCAGGGAAUGUUACAGAUUUACUUAAUGAACGGGAGUAGAUUCUUAAACAAAGUAAAUAAAAAUAUAACCUUAAUAUACAGCUCAUCAAGUGAUUGGACACUUGUGAGCAAGAAAAUCAGAAAAUUAUGAAAAGCAGUUAGCGCUACGGGGUAGAGUUGAAUAGUUAAAAACGACUUUUAAAAACCUGACCACCACCGAUACCAACCUCACAAAUUAUACCCAUUUUAAGGAGGUUCUCUUUAACGACGAUUAAAAUGCAUCAAUUACAUCGGUUUCUAGUUUCGAAAGACUUGUUAUAGCCACACGUAGCGUAACCAUGACAGACACGGUUUGCAGGUUCGACCACCAUACGCCUGUAUUUGGGUGUACCUUUGGCUGGUUCAAUCAUGCACAACCUUAUGAUAA
rnacentral:misc_RNA from 1 species